rnacentral:lncRNA from 1 species
CAACAAUUAAAUCAAAUGUAUGAUCUUAUAAGGACAAAUUCGGUGCAGUAUAUAUAUUGAUGUCAAUGGUUAAAUGAUAGAGUUCAUAAGAUGAUUGGUAAAACAUAUUAAACCUAUCGUUGCCCCUUUGGGAUUCUAGAUCGAGGUGAGUUUAGUUCUGCACCAAUUUCUUUCUUGUUAAUUAUUAUUCUUGAGGAGGGAGGGUAGGUCAAAAUUUCCUACCAUUGGUUUUGAAUUUUGAUCAUGUAUUUAUGUUGUACAUGUGUCAUUGUUUCUUGAUUAUUUGUUUUUUUUAUCGAAAGAUGCUUAUAAUAAAUUAAAAUGUAUGCAAUACAAUCUGAUAUAUCAACUAGGAUCUGGAAACUAGUUAACAAAGCCUUAGCUAGAUUAUUUGUUAGUUAAUUACUAUAUUACCUCUUCAUUUCAUAGUUACUCACUCCCUUCAUCUCAAAAUUUCUAACCACUAAAUUACUAAAAAAAAUUGUAUCAUAUUUGUUACUAUAAAAUGAAUUGGAGAAAUCACACCGAUCACAUGCAUAUAUUUAUUUCCUAUUCAUUCCUAUAUGGGCAUGUGCCACUGUCCUUUGCACCGUCUUCAACUCUUAAAAAGUGACUAUUUGUUCAAUUUCCUACUAAUCGGCAGCUACAAAAUUUGGAUGUAAUCAUGUCAUGUAGAGCAUCCAAAUUAUAUUGACCAAAUAUAGAUUCAUCAUGUACACGUAAGUGUAACACAUUAUAAACACAAUCAUUUAGUCAAAAAACCGUGUGAAAUUGAUUGGGUUGAAAGACGUGGAAAAUACAAAAACCACAUUUAUAUAUAUAUACUCAUAUAUACCGUAGACUUUAGGAACUAAUUCACCAACCCCCUUUUGCAUUCUUUCGUUGUCAACAUCUUUUUAAUUAAACUCCACGAGUCACAACAUAAACUAAUAUGUUAUCAAGAACACCUCUCACAUUAAACAUUAAACAUGUUUUGGUGUACGACAUGCAUCGGUAUCUGAUACUAAUACGAUACUAAUAUUUAUGAUUAUAAUGAAUUAUGUCAUUUUUUUAAAUUAUUAUUGGUAUUAAUGUGUCGGUAUCUGUGUUGUAUCUGAUAUCGGUACGCGUGUUUUACAUCACUUUUGAAUUUCUACUAUCAUAAAGUCAAAUUCUAACAUUUCAUAGCACAAGACAAGUGAGAAACCAGCAGAAGGAAGGACGGUAUAUAACCCCACACGAGUGCCAUCACAAUUCACAAAUUCACAACAAAAAUUCUUCAAACCAGAUUACUCAAAAAAGUGGUUAAAAUCAAAUCAGAUUGCAACCUUUAAAGGGCCCACUUUGAAAGCGCUUCACCGUCCCCAUAUCAUUUUUUUUUGUAUAUAAACCAAAGUAUACUGACUCCUCAUUCAUCCCAAAAAUAAAUACAAGUAUAACUUUUGGAAAUAAAAAUAUAUCUCAAACAGGGUAAAGGAAUAUUGUGAAAGGAAUUGGAAGAAAAAAAGUUGGUGAUGAUGAUGAUGAAGAAAAGCAUAUUGGUUGUGUUUUUUAUGAUGAUGUUUGUGAUGUCAUCACAACUCUGUUUUGUUCAUAGCAGAGUUCUUCAAUCCAAGGAGUUUAGAAAAGAUGGGGUGACAUCUUUUGUUUCUUCUAACAAUGGUGAUUCAAAAAGCAGCUUUUCAUUCAUAUUAGCUUCUGGACCAAGCAAAAAAGGCCCUGGACAUUGAGUUAAAUUCAUUUUUUCUUUUGAUUAUUAUUAUUUUUUUACAUAUGGUUUUCUUCUAGGUUAUAGAGAUUGAAUUCUUCCAUGGCUAUUUUUAUUCCAUGGAAUUGUGAGUGUAUUUCAUUUGUAGAUUGCUUGCUUAUCAUAAAUAUAUAUACAUGGUGUGACACACUUGUGAAUACAAUUAUGUUUAAUGUCUUCCUCUUUAUCAUGACUAUAUAUAUAU